rnacentral:rRNA from 1 species
UACGUAGGGGGCGAGCGUUGUCCGGAUUUAUUGGGCGUAAAGAGCGUGUAGGCGGCCAGGUAGGUCAGCUGUGAAAACUCGAGGCUCAACCUCGAGAUGUCGGCUGAAACCAUCUGGCUAGAGUCCGGAAGAGGAGAAUGGAAUUCCCGGUGUAGCGGUGAAAUGCGCAGAUAUCAGGAGGAACACCAAUAGCGAAGGCAGCUCGCUGGGACGUUACUGACACUGAGGCGCGAAAGCGUGGGGAGCGAACAGG